GACGAACGCUGGCGGCGUGCUUAACACAUGCAAGUCGAGCGGUAAGGCCCUUUCGGGGGUACGACGAGCGGCGAACGGGUGAGUAACACGUGGGUGACCUGCCUUUAGCUCUGGGAUAAGCCUGGGAAACUGGGUCUAAUACCGGAUAUGACCCUAUGGCGCAUGUUGGUGGGGUGGAAANCCUUGUGCGGCUAGGGAUGGGCCCGCGGCCUAUCAGCUUGUUGGUGGGGUGAUGGCCUACCAAGGCGACGACGGGUAGCCGGCCUGAGAGGGCGACCGGCCACACUGGGA
rnacentral:rRNA from 1 species